rnacentral:rRNA from 1 species
GAUGAACGCUGGCGGCGUGCCUAACACAUGCAAGUCGAGCGGCAGCGCGAGUAGUUUACUACUUGGCGGCGAGCGGCGAACGGCUGAGUAACGCGUGGGAAUUUGCCCCAAAGUGAGGAAUAACUGCCCGAAAGGGUGGCUAAUGCCGCAUAUGAUCUUCGGAUUAAAGGAUUUAUCCGCUUUGGGAGAAGCCCGCGUCGGAUUAGGUAGUUGGUGAGGUAAUGGCUCACCAAGCCGACGAUCCGUAGUUGGUCUGAGAGGAUGACCAGCCAGACUGGAACUGAGACACGGUCCAGACUCCUACGGGAGGCAGCAGUGAGGAAUCUUCCACAAUGGGCGAAAGCCUGAUGGAGCAACGCCGCGUGCAGGAUGAAGGCC